AGAUGAACCCUAAAAAGUUCUUUAGACA
rnacentral:tRNA from 1 species